UACGUAGGGUGCAAGCGUUGUCCGGAAUUAUUGGGCGUAAAGAGCUCGUAGGCGGUUUGUCGCGUCUGCUGUGAAAACUCGGGGCUUAACUCCGGGCCUGCAGUGGGUACGGGCAGACUAGAGUGCGGUAGGGGAGACUGGAAUUCCUGGUGUAGCGGUGAAAUGCGCAGAUAUCGGGAGGAACACCAGUGGCGAAGGCGGCGAUCUGGGAAGAUACUGACGCUGAGGUGCGAAAGCGUGGGGAGCAAACAGG
rnacentral:rRNA from 1 species